rnacentral:rRNA from 1 species
GAUGAACGCUGGCGGCGUGCUUAACACAUGCCAGUCGAACGAGAAGUGAAGACGGAACCCUUCGGGCGGAAGGCUUUAUUUCGAGUGGCGGACGGGUGAGUAACGCGUGGGUAACCUGCCUCAUACAGGGGGAUAACAGUUGGAAACGACUGUUAAUACCGCAUAAGACCACAGCACCGCAUGGUGCGGGGGUAAAAACUCCGGUGGUAUGAGAUGGACCCGCGUUCGAUUAGCCAGUUGGCGGGGUAACGGCCCACCAAAGCGACGAUCGAUAGCCGAUCUGAGAGGAUGACCGGCCACAUUGGGACUGAGACACGGCCCAAACUCCUACGGGAGGCAGCAGUGGGGAAUAUUGCACAAUGGGGGAAACCCUGAUGCAGCGACGCCGCGUGAGUGAAGAAGUAUUUCGGUAUGUAAAGCUCUAUCAGCAGGGAAGAAAAUGACGGUACCUGAGUAAGAAGCCCCGGCUAACUACGUG